rnacentral:misc_RNA from 1 species
CAAUCAACACAUGUAAACAAACAUUUCUUUACGAGUAAUCGAAAGGCGCCGAAGCAAAGAAGAUUCUUUGGCCGAAGUGUCUCUGGGCGUUUAGUAUUUCUCGGGGCAUUUAGUCUCUGGGCAUUUAGUAUGAGAGCAUUUCACGGCUAGACAACACAUCGAAGAAAGGAAGGAAUGUCUGGCUGUACUUAUCUGUGCAAUUCGGGUUUCUAUUUCAGAGGAAGGUCUGUAUGCCGAGCAUAGCUGUGUUAGCAUCUCUUUAUUAUGAUGAAUACAUAAAUGUACUUUAAGUUUUGUGUUGAUGUAAUGUUUUUUGAAACAUAAUCUGGAUCUACCAAAAACAUGGACUGGAAAUGAUCAGAAAUUAUGUCAAAGAUUUCACAGCCAGAUUCUGUAAAUGGUCUUAAUAUAGUAAACAAUUAUGUAAGCAAUGAUCUGUAUGGAAUACAGGAUGUUUGGGCCAAUAAUAUGGAACAAGAAUUCAUGAAAAUCAGGCAGAUAAUUCAAAACUAUACUUAUGUAGCUAUGGAUACAGAAUUUCCAGGUGUUGUUGCAAGGCCAAUUGGAGAAUUCAGAAGUACAGGAGAAUAUCAGUAUCAGUUACUGCGAUGUAAUGUUGAUUUAUUAAAAAUCAUUCAGUUGGGUUUAACAUUCCUGGAUGCGAAUGGCAAUGCUCCUCCAGAGUUUUCAACAUGGCAGUUCAAUUUCAAAUUUAGUUUAGUGGAGGACAUGUUUGCUCAAGAUUCUAUUGAUCUUUUAACAAAUUCUGGUAUUCAGUUCAAAAAACAUGAAGAAGAAGGUAUAGAACCUAAUGAAUUUGCACAGCUUUUGAUGACUUCGGGUGUUGUGCUUUCAGAUAAUGUAAAAUGGCUGUCUUUCCACAGUAGUUAUGACUUUGGAUACCUCCUAAAGCUUCUUACUGACCAGAAUUUGCCUUCAGAUGAAGCUGAAUUUUUUGAUUUAUUGAGAUGGUAUUUCCCAACUAUUUAUGAUGUUAAGUACUUAAUGAAGAGUUGUAAAAAUCUCAAAGGUGGUCUUCAGGAAGUAGCAGAUCAGCUGGAACUAGAACGUAUUGGGCCUCAGCACCAAGCUGGCAGUGAUAGUUUAUUGACUGGAAUAGCAUUUUUUAAAAUGAGAGAGGAAGCAAACAGCAUAGCAAAGUUUUAAUGGCAAGAGAAGUAGAAGCAAAGUGCCUGUAGUUAUCCAAUAUGACAGCUUAUUAAAAGAAAGGUUCUGUUUCAAGUUCCGAAUUAGAUGUUCUUUGAAGACAACAUUGAUGAUGAUAAAUAUUGUGGCCAUCUUUAUGGUCUAGGUAAUUGUUUCAUUCAAGGCAACUUGCAAGAUGAUGCUUUACCAGUCUCCUCUCCUUAACUAGUCAAAAGAUCUUCUGUAAUCCCUUGUAAUGAUGAUUACAUAUUAGUAGAUAAUUGUUGUCAAAGCUAGUCAUAUUUUGAAGAGAAAAUAUUUAAACUUAUUUGUCUUAAAUAGAAGUUUUUCAUUAUACUGUUGAUUUAAUUUUUGUUUGUUAGAAUAUAACAUUCCAAAUAAAAAUAUAGGUAGUUAAUGUUUCAACAGUUGAA